rnacentral:rRNA from 1 species
GACAGGGGUGCCAAGCGUUAGGCGGAAUCACUGGGCUUAAAGCGUGUGUAGGCGGGUCGUUAAGUGUCUUGUGAAAUCCCCCGGCUCAACCGGGGAAUGGCUGGGCAUACUGGCGAUCUUGAGCAGUUCAGGGGCAGAUGGAACAAGUGGUGGAGCGGUGAAAUGCGUAGAUAUCACUUGGAACGCCAAAGGUGAAAACAGUCUGCUGGGAACUUGCUGACGCUGAGACACGAAAGCCAGGGGAGCGAACGGG